AUGCCCAGCAUAAACCACGUAAAAGAGCCAUAACAAAAAUAUAAUUUAAAAUUAUAUUUUUGUUAUGGCUCUUUUACGUGUUUUAUGCUGGGCAU
rnacentral:miRNA from 1 species